rnacentral:rRNA from 1 species
GAUGAACGCUGGCGGCGUGCCUAAUACAUGCAAGUCGAACGCUGGAACUCUAGCUUGCUAGGUUGAAGGAGUGGCGAACGGGUGAGUAAUACAUAAGCAACCUACCCACGAAGACUGGGAUAAUCUCUGGAAACGGGGACUAAUACCGGAUAGGUAAUCGGAAGGCAUCUUCUGAUUAUUAAAGGUUAAAAACACUGGUGGAUGGGCUUAUGGCGCAUUAGUUAGUUGGUGAGGUAACGGCCCACCAAGACGAUGAUGCGUAGCCGGCCUGAGAGGGUGAACGGCCACAUUGGGACUGAGACACGGCCCAGACUCCUACGGGAGGCAGCAGUAGGGAAUUUUCGGCAAUGGGGGAAACCCUGACCGAGCAACGCCGCGUGAGUGAUGACGGCCUUCGGGUUGUAAAGCUCUGUUGUAAGGGAAGAACGGUAGAUAGAGAAUAUCUAAAUGACGGUACCGUACCAGAAAGCCACGGCUAACUACGU